AUUUCAUAUAUAUAUAUUCUCUCUCCUUGGAGAAUAUAUAGAUACAGAGUACAGACUAAGCCCUGUGUGUUUUAUUUCUGUAACCGAUUUGCAGAAAUUCAACCAUGGCAGCACACCUCCCUCUUCCAGUAAACGAGCUGGAAUCGGGCCCCACCGAUUCGGUCGCGUCAACUCCACGCUCCGACCACCACGGCCACGACGACGCCGCCCUGCAGCCGCCGCGUGUCCGCUUCAUGUGCAGCUUCGGCGGCAAGAUCCUCCCCCGGCCCCACGACAACCAGCUCCGCUACGUCGGCGGCGACACACGCAUCGUCGCCGUCCACCGCCACACCACGUUCUCCGGCCUCCUCUCGAAGCUGUCGAAGCUGUACGGCACCGCCAGCGUCUGCAUAAAGUACCAGCUCCCGAACGAAGACCUCGACGCGCUCAUCACCGUCACCGCCGACGAGGACGUCGAGAACAUGAUGGAGGAGUACGAUCGGCUCAGCCACGCCCCGAAAUCGGCUCGGCUCCGCCUCUUCCUCUUCCCAAUCGACGAAAACAACAACAACACUAACGACUCAUCACGGCCGUCAAGUAUCAUCAGCUCACUCCUCGACGGCUCCGUCAAGCGCGAGAACUGGUUCGUCGACGCACUUAACGGCGGACAAACGGCCGGUCCGAUCCUCGAGCGCGGCCGGUCCGAGGUGUCGUCGAUUGUUUCGGAAGUGCCGGAUUAUUUAUUCGGGCUGGAUAACUCCGACGACCCCCUAAAAGAAGCCGCAACCAAGAUGCAGAAGAACAACAAAACCAACCUAAACGACAGCGUUUCGAUGUCGGAUCCGGGUUCGCCCGCCGCGGUUGCUUCUUCGCCCUUCUGCUCCACGUCAUCAACUCUGGGCCCACCCGGUCUGCAACAAUCCCGGAUCUUCCGCCGGUUAAAACCAAACCCGUGAACACGGUUCAGUUUGUGGACCAUAAUAAUAAUAAUAAUAAUAAAGAGAGCGAAAUGGUGUCCCAGCAAACCGGGUAUCCGGGUGGACCGGUUUGGCAUUACCCGAAUCCAGCUGUGCAAUCCAUGCCUGCAGUGUACUACAUGCCAGCUGGCAGCCACGUGCAACCCGGGAAUGCGUCUGUCCAACCGGUUCAGUACCGGACACAGUUUGUCCAGCCGUACCCGCUUGGACCGGGUCAAGUACCCAUGGGUUACCCGGGUGUGAAUCAAGUGUACGGAGCGGGUGUGCGGGUCCCAUAUGAAAUGCCCACCCGAAUUAUCACUGACAAUAACCAGACAAUGUACUAUGGGACGAGAAAUAUGGGCGUUGUUCCGGGUUCUUAUCCGGGUAUGGUUGUUUCUGGAGGGGAAGAGAUGCAGGGAACCGGGUCGGAUGUGAUGUCGGGUCGGGUCUCGCAAGGAUCUUGAUCAUGUAGUUAAUUGGAUCACUCUUUAUCGACGUAUAUAAUUGUGGGUAUAAAAUUAUGUAUUGUUUUAUUUUGGAUUGUGGUGAUUUAUGACUAGUUUUGUUAUAUAAUAAAGUAAUAUAAUAUAUUAAACUAUUUAUUUGCAAA